CACGUAGGGUGCAAGCGUUAAUCGGAAUUACUGGGCGUAAAGCGUGCGCAGGCGGUCCGCUAAGACAGAUGUGAAAUCCCCGGGCUUAACCUGGGAACUGCAUUUGUGACUGGCGGGCUAGAGUAUGGCAGAGGGGGGUAGAAUUCCACGUGUAGCAGUGAAAUGCGUAGAGAUGUGGAGGAAUACCGAUGGCGAAGGCAGCCCCCUGGGCCAAUACUGACGCUCAUGCACGAAAGCGUGGGGAGCAAACAGG
rnacentral:rRNA from 1 species